UGUCCAGGGAUAGGAAUCGAACUCAUAAAGUUCCGCUUAUCAGGCAGAUGCCAUGUCCACUAGGCUAUCCUGUAC
rnacentral:tRNA from 1 species